rnacentral:rRNA from 1 species
CUACCACGCGAGUGGAUGCCAAUCCCUAAAACUCCUCUCAGUUCGGACUGGAGUCUGCAACCCGACUCCACGAAGCUGGAUUCGCUAGUAAUCGCGCAUCAGCCACGGCGCGGUGAAUACGUUCCCGGGCCUUGUACACACCGCCCGUCAAGCCAUGGGAGGCCCGGGGGUACCUGAAGUGCGUAACCGCGAGGAUCGCCCUAGGGUAAAACUGGUGACUGGGGCUAAGUCGUAACAAGGUAAC